UCGCCUCCUCGCCAUAAUCGCAGCUCCCGUCCGUUCUCGCCACGUCUCCGUCGAUUCCCCCAAUUUUGAGGUACGAUGUCCUCUCCGGUCCCACUGUUUUCGCCGUUUCGUAUGAUGAUUUCCGCAGAUCUGUGGGUUUCUCAUGUGUGUAUUUUCCCUUGAUUCUUCCAGCCACCAAGGCCAUGGACCGGGACCUGUGUGUUCAUUUGAAGGUGAGCUCCCGGGUCUAAUCCCGAUAACCCUUUGCAGUGGAUCUUGCAGUGAAUGGCUUGCUCGAAGAUUUUGGAACCUUAUCCUCAGAAUGAUUAGUUGUUCUCCCAUGUGGUGUGCAUUUAACUGUUGUAGUCUUAACUUUACUGCAUUAGUUCUUGUAUAGGUUUUGGGCAAUAAGCUUAAGGGUAGUAGUUAAAGAUUUGUUGGAAGCACAAACUAACCUAUUUGGUUGCAGCCACGAAUUCACAUAAUCCUAUUGUUUGCUAUGUAAUGAACUAGCUGGUGCUUGAUAGGUUCAAUUCUUUGAAUGUACUACUUGGUACUGUUUUUUCAGUGAUUAAUGCACCUAAGCAGGAUGUUGUAUCUUAUAUAAAUAGUAUCCUAUAGAUUUUGGAAAAUUUAACCAUCUAAAGUUGAAAGUAAUUCAGCUUCUGUGGUAGUAGCAGUGUGUAUCAGUUUUUCUGGGUGGAAAUCUUUGUCCUGGCGUGUACAAAUAUAGAUACUCCUAUUUAUUUGUAUUGAGCUUAGUUGCAUUUAUAGUGCUGGAGCUUCUUUUAUUUGCAUCAAUGGUGAAUCCAUUGUGUUUCCUAUAGGUAUUGUUUCCUUUUACUCAAGUGCCUUCAUACAAGAUACUAAGUAUUUUUCAGUUUUACCUCAUUCCUUCUUAUUAAACCACAACAGUAAUAUGAACUUGCAUGUACCAGUGCUUCAUAUUGUUGUCUUCUGAAUCUGACAAAAUAACAUCAAGUACAGACAAGAAAGUGAAAGGGGCGCUUACCUACUUGGCACCGCCGAGCUUCCGCCAGCAAUGGAGGUGAUUGUCUGCUCUCGGUUUCAUGGCGCCAAUGGAGGUGAUUGUCUCAGUGACCUUCUUGUUGUUCCUCUUCCUUCUGACAUAAUGUGACCCGUUCUUGCAGGUGGGUGUGAAGUGAGCACACAAUUGUUCAACGUUGCUGGAUAGGUUCUUCCUGGUCGUCUUCUUUUGUUGAGGCCCGACGUUACAAUCGUGUUAAGGUAUGUCUCCUGACGCGAACAUCUAUGGAUGUGGUUUCUUGUUCCUGUUCGUUUGGUUGGUUUAUUGUGUUCAUGAGUUAGCGCCCGUCAGGUGCUCGUGCUUAUGUCAUAAGAGCAAUGAGUCAUAGUUCAGGGAAACUCAUCUAGAUGUUUCACAGAUAUUCGGCCAAAUAUCAACUAAUAUAAGUUCAUAAAUCAGAGGCAAAGAAAUGCUUAUCACUCAUUUGUCGAACAGAUACUAACAGAACAAUGGUAAGGUGAAUGAAUAAUAACCUUGGAGGUGAAUAAUAACAAGAAAGAAAAACGUGAAGGGUGAAUAAAUAAAGGUGUUUGUAUGCAAAUUUCACUGUCCAUGUGCUUCCUUGGUGUGCCUUUGUCACAUCGGCAGUACCAAGUCACUUCAAAGCACCGUGAUGUGGCAAAGAACUUAAUCAGGAUUUAUGCCAAACCACAUGCUAAGGAACAAUGAUCAAUUUGAUUUGAUUAAUAAGUUUAGUUACCCAAGAUCAUAUUUACUCUGUUAGUAAUAUAAUAGAUUCCAGAUUCCGGUUAUGCAGGCCUUCCCUUCCAUUCCAUUUGGAAUCUGCUCUCUCUCCCUCUCCACAUCCCACUCCCACUACCAAACAUGCAUUAGAAAACACAAAGAAUAAUGAAGUAGUUUUUCACACGAUAUGAGAACAGGUUUGCUGUAUUCAGUGUAGUUUUGAACCUAUGAUCCUUCAUAGGAAAAACGAAAACGGCUUCAUGUUUUAAUCGCUCCAAAUUCAGGGUUUAACUGCUGCAAAUUCUUAGGUAACUGUCGGUUUUUAGCACACUUUUUCAGGUUUUUAACUUCUGCAAAAUAUAAUAUUAACUGUUACAGAACCAAUUUGGAACUUCCUAUUUCAAUGCAUAACUUCUGAGACUAACCGGGACACCAAAAACGUGGAUUGAAGAGAAGGGGGGCCUCGUCUUUUUCACAGGUAAUUUCCCUCGGAAAUCUUGCUUGCCGGCCUCGUCUUCUUCCUUCAGGUUGGUCGUUUGUCGUCUAAGUGGCAAGGUGAGCUAAUUUUCUUUGUUCAAUCUAGGGUCAAGAUUCAUCUCCCCUUCACCAUUAUUCACUUUCUAUGCAAUUAGUCCAUUGAUCCAUAAGUUUGGCAUCCUCUGUUUGAGCAUUUAGCUUGCUUUUGCUGCCAAUUACAAAUUGUUUGCAUCUGAACACACUGGCCCAUUUCACCAAGGAAAUUCCCUUGCUAUGCUAAAGUAAACCUAUUAUCAAUUGCAUUUUUUAACAAAACUUAUCACUACUUACUAUACUCUACUGAUUUUCACUAAGAAAUAUUGGAGGCUAGGUAGUUGAAUUCAAAAUCGGUCCUAUAAGCCCUAUGUAGUUCCCAUUCACUUUAUAAAGGUAGACGAAGCAUGCAUGAACCAAUAUCAACUACAUGAUGCAGCCGCUCAACGCCCAAUCAAAUUUUGCUGCAUCACAAACCUUUAAAAAGACACUUCAUCGUUUAAUCCGCAUUUUUUGGGACUUGGUACAUCCGGAAAAUGAUUGACUCUGGACUUCUUAAGAAGGCUAUAGGAAGAGGGUUUAGAGAUCCUUCUUCGCAAAAUCAGGAAAUUUCAGGGAGAUUGUUUUAAAGGCACCUAGCUAUUUCAGUACUCUCUCUAAUAGUCAGUUCGGUGUCCUACUGCUCAGUCAAUUUUGUGAACCCACAGAAAAGCAGUACUUGUUUAUCGAAACUGAAUAAUGUAAUGAUCAUCCAGAAGUUCCUUUGGAGUUUCCAUGAUCAAUUUAACUUAUAAAACCUUUUUUGUUAUGUACUAUUCAUGUUUUUUGGGAAAACAGAAUAAUAUUAUGAGUAUCCAAAAGUACCUUUGGAGUUUCAUGAUCAAAUGAACUUAAAACUUCUUUCAUUAUGCACACUCAUGUUUUUUUGGUCAGUACAUAUAAGAUCUUGCCGAAUAAUUUUCCAAAAUUUUCACCAAGCAACUGUUUUUUUCUUCAUGAUUGUGGGAAAGAGGAGCUCAGCUGCUAGGCCAUUCUAUUUGUGUACCAAUUCUAGAUUAUUCAUUAUGUUCUCUUUAUUGCUAAUGAUAAACGUCCUUCCAGUAUGAAAACCUUAAAUUUCGCCAUUCUAUUGGUGAUUUUUUGGUAUUUCAUUGCAGGAGACACCAAAUGUAGAGUCGUCAUAUCUAACUUUUACUUUGACAUGGCUGGGUGUUCGUCUUCUACAUAUCUGGUUUAUGCUCUAUUGUCUACUUACCAACAAGAAGAUAAGUUGAAUGCUUCACCUUGGCAAAGUCCAGCUGUCAACGUUUUGGUUCUUCUGGAUCUUAAAUUGUUAAAUGGUUCUGUUGUGAUAUACUAUACUUAUUCAGACAGGGGGCACUAAUUUAUCUUCCAGCAGGUUAAUAAAAAUUUAUUUAGAAGGUCUCUUAUCUGAUUUCCAAAUUAGAUCCUUGCAACUAAACUGUUGAACUUGCUUGACAUCUCUUUGUUUACCGCAUCAAACCUUGAAGUCAUCUUAUUCUUAUGGUGUUUCUAGGCCAUGUUGUACUUCUGAACUAUUGCAUUACACAUGAUUCGGUGGUUGAUCUUAGUUGUCCAUGAAAAACUGUAGAGCAUGCACAGUAUUUUCUAACCAGGAACUUUUCCCAACUUAAGUAUUGAAACUUGAACUAAGAUUUUGUUCAUAAAUUGGAAAUAAGCAGGAAUUAACCAAUCUUGUUUGUAAUUACCACUCUGCAAAAUAAUGUAAAAAUCUACAUGCAGUCUAACACAAUUGCCUGUAAGCAAUGGAGCCAAAUAAAUUCAUUUUCCGAGCACCAAGAUGCUCAUGUCAGCUUCUAAGCCUGAUCUAUUUUAUGCAUGUGCACUACGUGUGACGGGAUUUUAUUGUUGUAUCAUCUGUGCUGCUUGUCUUCUCACUAAACUAAACCUAUUGUCAGAAAGGCACGUUAACAAAUACAACAGCCAGAUUAGUGCGCGCAAGCCCGCCUCAAGAGGCGCCACUGGGUGGCGCCCCAACCACUAGUCCUAGUCUAAACGGGGCCGGCCUUACUGGGCAGAGCCUAGCUUUCCAUCGCCGUGCUUGCACGCGCAUACGCACACACAGGUGUCGGCGACCGACCACAAUCAGCAGCAGCGAUGCAGCGCAUCAGGCAGCACGUAGGCAGAGAGCAGCGGUGGCGGCCUCGCAUAGCAGCAGCAAGAGGCAAAGCAGCGCAGUAGAAGGCAGCAGUAGCAAGCAGCGGCCAGCGCAGGAGCAGGCUGCGGCGGGUUGCAGGGGCGGCCGGGAGCGCGGCAACGCGGGGACGGGCGCGUGCGCCAACGCGCGGCCGGGCGCAAGGCUGGGCGCGACCAGGAGCGGCUGCAGGCGCGCUGCGAGGAGCAGAGGCGCGGGGAUGGGCAGGCGACCUUGCGCACGGACGCAAAGCGUCCGCCAUGGAGGCCAGGCUCGCGAGGACGACGAUAUGGCGACGGAUCGAGCAAGGAAAAGAGGGGUAUGGAGAGAGGAGCUCACAACGGGGCGGAUGGCGUUCUCGGGGAGGCCGGGGACGGGCCGGAGAGGCGAUGGUGACGGCGAGAUGCGGCGGUCAGAGGAAGAAGAGGAAGACAGCGUCGGCUACGUGGCUCCCCAUACUGAUGAGGCGUCCUAAACGGAGGAAGUCGAGGGCGGUGGACCUCCUGGACGUACUCCUGCACGCCGAAGGGGCCGGUGGACGCGUCGACGACGGAGAGGCAACGGUCACCGCGGAUCUUCCUAGNNN
rnacentral:lncRNA from 1 species